rnacentral:rRNA from 1 species
ACUUUUCCCUCAGGUUUCGUUUUUAGGUGGGGAGUAACCGCUAAAUUCUCACGCAUAAGCAGACAUGGAUAGGUUACUCCGAGCCCCGUUCUUGCUCUUCCUUAUCUUGCUCAUUACCUUGCGUGUAAAUUGAACAGGACCUGUCUACCUGGUGGGAAAUUCUGCUUAUGGUCUGGCCGGUAGGCGUAAUGGUUCCGGCAGCUCAAUCGCACGGCUCUGAACCUUCAAAUACCGCCGUUGUGCAGGCUCGUCCCGCCCCCCCUCAUUCCCACCCACACACCUGUGCACCAAAGGGACGGCGGGUGGAUAACGCACGCCGUCUCGCUUUAACAAGCUCAAAAGUCUAUUUUGAAUGUCAUUUAUUCGGGCUAGCCCCGAUGUAACUUAAACAUAACAACUUUCAACAACGGAUCUCUUGGCUCUCGCAUCGAUGAAGAACGCAGCGAAAUGCGAUAAGUAAUGUGAAUUGCAGAAUUCAGUGAAUCAUCGAAUCUUUGAACGCACCUUGCGCCCAUUGGUAUUCCGAUGGGCAUGCCUGUUUGAGUGUCUUGAAAUCAUCAAGCCCGUUCGGUUUCACCGCCGAGCGGGGUUGGACUUGGGGGCUUGCCGCUUCGCCGCGGCUCCCCUUAAAUGCAUCGGUUUCGGGUCUCUGUGGGAGUCACCCCUUGGGCGUUGUAUAACCCUCGCUGUCUGGGAACUCCACGCGACGUUCGCGUCGUUGAAGGGCCUUGAAGAAACCUCGACCUGCUGUAGAGUGGCGGUCAAUGUUAAUAUCGAGAUCUGACCUCAAAUCAGGUAGGACUACCCGCUGAACUUAAGCAUAUCAAUAAGCGGAGGA